GAUGGAAGAUUUCUGUCACCCUGCCUUUCAGGAAAAAACAAUUUUAAUCAAUUGGAUAAUGAAUGCACCUAUGCUUUGAAAAAAACAAGUUACCUAACCAUAGGUAAUGGUAGCUGCUGCUCCAAGGCCAAGGAAAGGAGUGCAGUCACUAAAACAUUUAAAUGCAGAACUUGAGUAGAAUAACAGAAAAUUUCUUCUGCAGGUGUUUACCAUUCAGAACGCUUCAGGUACGCCCUCGUAAUUAUGAGUGACAGUAAAAGAUGGGCAGGCUUUCAGUUCUAUGUUAUUGUUAAAUCAGUCUAGAAUUACUAGUAUUAUCCCAUGGUACAGGUAUAAUAAGUCCCUUGAAGGUGGGAGUCCUCUAUUUUUUAAACGAUUCUGCCCUGUUCCCUCUCCCCUACCCCAACAUGUGGCAUCCACUCCCACAGCUUAAGCAUUUGCCACAUAGCAGGCAUUGCGGGGUGGCAAGGGUACAGCAGGAAGUACUUUGAGCCAGGUUCUUAACUCAGAUGCACAUGCUGAUGUUCAGAGGGCAGCCAACAAGCAAAUAAAGAAAUUAAAGAAUGAUUAAAGGAGUGCAGAAAAUCUGUCAGGGUGAGAUGAUAGGAUUUGGUUUUGAGCAUGAAGGUGUCUUAGAUGGUCUGAUUACGUUGGACUUGAACCUUGGACAGAGAGAGUCUGUAAGAAUCACAAGUGAGCAUUCCAGCCAGCAGAGAGCAAGUUGAGAAGGCCUGCAGUUGGAACACACUGAGUUGUGUGUGGCAGCAAAAUAAGGCCAGCAGGGCCGGAGGGAUGUGCUCUAAUUCAUAUUUGAAAUCUCCCUUGCAUUGAGGUCCCCAGAGCUCAGGCAGUUUUGGCAUCAGUGACCAUUUAAAGAUGAUGUGUUCUGCCAGCAUCUCUUCCUUUGUGUCUCGAGGUAGGAUUAAAUUUUUUUAAAGCCUUGAGCCAACUGGAUACCAAAACAUAGUAUGGGACAGGGACUAACAACACGAGGUUCCUGUGCUUUUGUCUGGAAUUAUGGCUGCAUAACCUCACAGUUGACAUUUAUGUCUGUGAUGCAAAAAGUGGAAGUAGUGCCCACAUGGACCAAACCCAGAGUUGCAGGGGCAUGGAAAGAAGUUUUCCAAUAGCUUGUUAAAUGAGAUUUAUGCACUGGGGACAAAUUUAGACAAGAUUUAGAAAGGCAGGGAGAAGGAGUUUCAUCUACUAGUUCACUCCCCAAAUGCCCACAGUGACCCUGAGCUAAAGGCCAAAGUCAGGACUCGGACACAGGUGCUCUGGUGGCGUCUUAGCAAAUGCCAGACACCCACCCUGGAAAUGAAGACCGACCUGAGCUACGACAUAGAUGAGCCCAGAGAGCAUUGCUAAGGGAAAGAAGCCAGACAGAAGACCACAUCUUUUAUGAUUCCAUCAGAACAGAAAAACGAAAAACAUGUUAGAUUAGUGGUUGCUGCAG